rnacentral:rRNA from 1 species
GAUGAACGCUAGCUACAGGCUUAACACACGCAAGUCGAGGGGUAACAAGAGAAAAGCUUGCUUUUCUUGUUGACGGCCGGCGCACGGGUGAGUAACGCGUAUCCAACCUGCCUAUAACUAGGGAAUAACCUUGCGAAAGUAAGACUAAUACCCUAUGAUUUCCUUUGAUGACAUCAGAUUAGGAAUAAAGAUUUAUCGGUUAUAGAUGGGGAUGCGUCGGAUUAGCUUGUUGGCGGGGUAACGGCCCACCAAGGCAACGAUCAGUAGGGGUUCUGAGAGGAAGGUCCCCCACAUUGGAACUGAGACACGGUCCAAACUCCUACGGGAGGCAGCAGUGAGGAAUAUUGGUCAAUGGGCGGAAGCCUGAACCAGCCAAGUAGCGUGCAGGAUGACGGCCCUAUGGGUUGUAAACUGCUUUUAUACAGGAAUAAAGUUAGCCACGUGUGGUUAUUUGUAGGUACUGUAUGAAUAAGGACCGGCUAAUUCCGUGCCAGCCGCCGCGGUAA